GGGUUUUCGCUCUUCCCUGGGAUCGCUGGGAAGUGUAGUCUUCCCAUGGCCGGCAGCCCAGCUUCCGGGGUUGGCGAGGGGUCUGGGAUGCCCUCUGCCGAGGCGGAGUCCAUCCUGCAGGACCCUGGCCGGGCGUGGGGGACCGUAGGAGAGAGUGGCGGCCGACCUCCCAUUCGGUCAAUUCCUUCAUUCUGCAAGUAUUGAGCACCCACUGGAUGCCUGGCAUUCUUCCAGGCACUGGGGCUGCUUGGAGAGAGAAAACCCAUGUGCCCCAUACCAGACAAUGUGGCAUGGUUGAGAAUCUGCAGUCUGUGGGUCUUUUGUCACCUGAAUCUCUGUGUGCCUUUGAUACUCUACCUGCCCUCACCUCCACCUUGAAUGCUGUGAGUCCCCAAGAGCCCCCUCAUUUCUGGGCUGCCCUUCAGACUCAGGUAGGCUCCACACCCAGCACAGGGCUUGAACUGAUGACCCUGAGAUCAAGAGUGCCAUACUUGGCUGCAGGAGCCAGCGAGGCACCCCUCCCACGGAGUGUAGAUCAGCCUAGCUAGCUGAGUAGGAUGAGAGCAUGUACUUGUGCUAUAAAUACUAAAGAGCAAACAGUGGAGUGGUGGUUGCCAGAUGUGCCUGACCGUCUGCUCUGAGCCGCAGCUGAGGAGAGUGUUGGAGCCACCGGAGACCGCUUGCACCCCAGAUGGACCACAGAACAGCAUGUGCCAGAGGUGGGCGUCCAACGUAGAAGGACAGCCCUGCUGAGCCACCAAGAGUGUCAGCCGUACCCAAGGGGAUGUCAGCACCAGCAGGUACUUGGGGCGGAUUUCCAGGAGGAACUGAGCAAGGCAUCCUUAGCUGAGGCACCAAAAGGUGGUGAAAGCAGGAUCCGAAUAUCCAGGUAGCUGAUUUCCCAGUGAGAAACCAGGCUCCAUCUACCGUCUGAAGCUUCUGCCCCACAUUUGCACUGUUUGUAAGAGAACCUGUGUGACACCUUCAUCUGGAGCCUUCCUGCAGGUCCUAAGGAUCCUGAAACCUUGCUGCAGACCUUGGAUUUGGUGGAGCAGCAACCGUGACUGUGGGAAAGAACAGUGAGAUGCUGCAGCACAUUGACUAUAGAAUAAGAGGUAUCCUGCAAGAUGGCCAAGUCUUCAUUGGCAAGAUUUUAUGUUUUAAGCACUCUCUACAGCAAACAUGGGGCUCAAACUUACAACCCUGAGAUCCGGAGACACAAGUCUACCGACUGAGCCAAUGGCACAUUCAUCGAUACCUUUAAGGCUUUUGCCAAGCCUGUGAGCUUGAUCCUCUGUGAUUGUGAUGAAUUCAGGAAGAUCAAGCCCAAGAAUCUGAAGCAGCCAGACCAUGAAGAAAGGUGGGUUUGGGGUCAAGGUGGGGGCUACAGGGGGAGAACUUGGUUUCCAUGACUGUGGGAGGACUGCCCCCCAAAGAUGCUGGUAUUGCUUGGGUACCACUUGUUGGAGCUGCAGGAGGCCCUGGGGUUGGCAGGGCAGCUGGCAGAGGCAUGCUGGCUAGUGUUGCAAUUCCCCAGGCUUCUGUUGGAUUAGCAGGCCCUGUCUGAGGGGUUGGGGGGGCCUCAGGGAAGAGGUUCUAGAGCAGCUGUGCCAUUGUUGCUCCUACCAGCAGUGCUGUAGUCCCAUCUCAAUGUCCAUCUAGAUGGGGGACCCCACCCACUUCUGAGAGCCGAAGAACACUCCCCCAGGCAUGUGGCCCCUCCACUUGGCAUAUGACCACCCACAGGCCCACCACUUGGGUUCCCAGGAAUGAGAGCCUCUCCACCAGGAAUUAGGGGUCCACUCCCCCCAGGAGUGCAUCCACCAAGACCCUAUGAUACUGUCAGUCCUUCUAAGUCAUGUUUUCCCCUGCAAUAUCUCUUGCGAAUCUGUGUAGGGUGUUUAUAUUAUUAGCUAAUAAAUGCACAGAGCAAUUAAAACAUAUAUCAGAAAGCAAAGGAAUGCUCACUUGCAGAUAUGAGUAGAAAAUCCUAACCAACAAGGUGAUUUGAAACACGUUUAAAAAUGAAAAUCAGUUAAAAAAAUCAAUAGAUCAAUGUAUGCGUGGAAAUUCUGUAUAUGAUAAAGAUGACAUUGCUACUACUCAGCCAACAAAAAAAAUGAAAUCUUGCUAUUUGCAACGAUGUGGAUGGAACUAGAGGGUAU